rnacentral:lncRNA from 1 species
ACUCAGAGAUCCAUCUGCCGAUUUCUGCUUCCCCAAAGCUGGAAUUAAAGGAAUGCCCUACCAUACCCUUCAGAAAAGAUUUAAAUGCGAUUCAGAUCCUGUACACGUGUCCCAGGCUACCAGACUCCCUCCCUUCCCCUGCCAACCAGGAACCAGCCUGACUACAAUUACUUACUAUGGAAUGCCCAUCAGUCACAUGGUAUAGAGCCAGCUCCCUCCUCUGAAAUGUAUAAGAAGGGACAUUAUUGUGCCACAUGGGCCUACACUCCCUUCAGGGUACCCACAGUUGUCUUUCAGUCAAUCAAAAUUGUCAACUCGAUUAAUAAAUCUUUGACCCGAAGAGC